rnacentral:rRNA from 1 species
GACGAACGCUGGCGGCGUGCCUAAUACAUGCAAGUCGAACGCAGUGGGGACGGGUGAGUAACACGUGGGUAACCUCCCAUCAGAGGGGAUAACACUUGGAAACAGGUGCUAAACCGAUACUGAUGGAUGGACCCGCGGUGCAUUAGCUAGUUGGUGGGGUAACGGCUCACCAAGGCCACGAUGCAUAGCUGACCUGAGAGGGUGAUCGGACACACUUGGACUGAGACACGGACCAGACUCCUACGGGAGGCAGCAGUAGGGAAUCUUGGGCAAUGGACGAAAGUCUGAUCGAGCAAAUCCGCGUGAGUGAAGAAGGUUUUCGGAUCGUAAAAUUCUGUUGUUAGAGAAGCGGUAUCUAACUAGAAAGCCACGGCUAACGACGUGCCAGCAGCCGCGGUAAUAC